CUCCGGUUGAUCCUGCCGGACCUGACUGCUAUCGGAUUGGUACUAAGCCAUGCGAGUCAUUGUAGCAAUACAAGGCGGACGGCUCAGUAACACGUAGUCAACCUAACUCGUGGACGUGGAUAACCUCGGGAAACUGAGAAUAAACCACGAUAGAUCAUAGUGCCUGGAAUGGCUUAUGGUCCAAACAGUUUACUGCCAUGGGAUGGGACUGCGGCCUAUCAGCUUGUUGGUGAGGUAAUGGCCCACCAAGGCGAUUACAGGUACGGGCUCUGAGAGGAGAAGCCCGGAGAUGGGUACUGAGACACGGACCCAGGCCCUAUGGGGCGCAGCAGGCGAGAAACCUUAGCAAUGUGCGAAAGCACGACUGGGUCAGUCCGAGUGAUUCCUGAUAAAGGAGUCUUUUGCUUGUCCUAAAAGCACAGGUGAAUAAGGGGUGGGCAAGUCUGGUGUCAGCCGCCGCGGUAAUACCAGCACCUCGAGUGGUCAGGACGUUUAUUGGGCCUAAAGCAUCCGUAGCCGGCUCUGCAAGUCUUCGGUUAAAUCCACCUGCUCAACAGAUGGGCUGCUGGAGAUACUACAGAGCUAGGGAGUGGGAGAGGCAGACGGUAUUCAGUGGGUAGGGGUAAAAUCCUCUGAUCCAUUGAGGACCACCAGUGGCGAAGGCGGUCUGCCAGAACACGUUCGACGGUGAGGGAUGAAAGCUGGGGGAGCAAACCGGAUUAGAUACCCGGGUAGUCCCAGCUGUAAACGAUGCAAACUCGGUGAUGCAUUGGCUUAUGGCCAAUGCAGUGCCGCAGGGAAGCCGUUAAGUUUGCAGCCUGGGAAGUACGGACGCAAGUCUGAAACUAAAGCAUUAAAGGGGGGGAGCA
rnacentral:rRNA from 1 species